rnacentral:rRNA from 1 species
AUUGAACGCUGGCGGCAGGCUUAACACAUGCAAGUCGAGCGGGGUGAUGGUGCUCGCACUAUCACUCAGCGGCGGACGGGUGAGUAAUGCUUAGGAAUCUGCCUAUUAGUGGGGGACAACAUCUCGAAAGGGAUGCUAAUACCGCAUACGUCCUACGGGAGAAAGCAGGGGAUCACUUGUGACCUUGCGCUAAUAGAUGAGCCUAAGUCGGAUUAGCUAGUUGGUGGGGUAAAGGCCUACCAAGGCGACGAUCUGUAGCGGGUCUGAGAGGCUGAUCCGCCACACUGGGACUGAGACACGGCCCAGACUCCUACGGGAGGCAGCAGUGGGAAAUAUUGGACAAUGGGGGGAACCCUGAUCCAGCCAUGCCGCGUGUGUGAAGAAGGCCUUAUGGUUGUAAAGCACUUUAAGCGAGGAGGAGGCUCUUUUGGUUAAUACCCAAGAUGAGUGGACGUUACUCGCAGAAUAAGCACCGGCUAACUCUGUGCCAGCCGCCGCCGUAA